AUCCUUUCGCAGAGGCAAUAUCGUAGUCUAUGAAGUCCAGCUGAGACGUGAUUAUUGCUGGUUGAAAACUUAACCCAAUACCCCGUCAGGAUUGGCUUGAAAUAUAGCCAGCCUUGACAAUUUUUUAUCGCCUCCACGGAGG